rnacentral:rRNA from 1 species
AGUGAACGCUGGCGGUAGGCCUAACACAUGCAAGUCGAACGGCAGCACAGUAAGAGCUUGCUCUUACGGGUGGCGAGUGGCGGACGGGUGAGGAAUACAUCGGAAUCUACUUUUUCGUGGGGGAUAACGUAGGGAAACUUACGCUAAUACCGCAUACGACCUACGGGUGAAAGCAGGGGAUCUUCGGACCUUGCGCGAUUGAAUGAGCCGAUGUCGGAUUAGCUAGUUGGCGGGGUAAAGGCCCACCAAGGCGACGAUCCGUAGCUGGUCUGAGAGGAUGAUCAGCCACACUGGAACUGAGACACGGUCCAGACUCCUACGGGAGGCAGCAGUGGGGAAUAUUGGACAAUGGGCGCAAGCCUGAUCCAGCCAUACCGCGUGGGUGAAGUAGGCCUUCGGGUUGUAAAGCCCUUUUGUUGGGAAAGAAAAGCAGCAGGUUAAUACCCCGCUGUUCCGACGGUACCCAAAGAAUAAGCACCGGCUAACUUCGUG